AACUUCGCAGAACCGUACUUGGUGUGAACCGGCAGCCCCAUGCUUUCACUUUGACACUUGUUUUUGCCACCCAUAUGCAGGACGCACCGCGAUACAGGCAUCAAAAACAAGUGCAGUGCACCCUCUAGCUUGGACCUUGCUUCCGCCACCCAUACGCAGGACGCACCGCAGUAUAGGCAUCGAAAGAAGGCCGAAAACACCCGUGAGCCCCUUCCCUUGCCGAAAUCUCUUCUCCUCUUUCAUCUCUGUGAACGUGCUUCUUUUUUGUCUCCUUGGACCUGCACUGACUUUAAAGCUCCUCGCCGGGUCAUCAUCUCCAGCCUUGUGCUCUUUAUAUAGGAGGCAGUGAAGACUCUGGAGGGCUGGAUAAGCCUUCAUUUGAAAUUUAAAUUUCGCGAAGCUCACGAAGAUAAGCUGACCAGAGACCUCAUCUUUGACACCGAGAUUGAACUAGGACGCACUCUGCUACUUCAUUCUUAUCUCAAAUUGAGAUAUUUGAGUUAAAAUUUGAAUGCCUCCCUUUGUUUCUGUUUUGUAGUAUCCACGUUAGAAGUAGGUCAACAUUCAACUUCUUGUUUGAAUAUGAAUAAGAUAAAUGUAACUAAAGCAAUUUUUUUAAUUGCUGCCACUAUUUUUCUUC